AUACGGAGGAUGCGAGCGUUAUCCGGAUUUAUUGGGUUUAAAGGGAGCGUAGGUGGAUUGUUAAGUCAGUUGUGAAAGUUUGCGGCUCAACCGUAAAAUUGCAGUUGAAACUGGCAGUCUUGAGUACAGUAGAGGUGGGCGGAAUUCGUGGUGUAGCGGUGAAAUGCUUAGAUAUCACGAAGAACUCCGAUUGCGAAGGCAGCUCACUAGCCUGUUACUGACACUGAUGCUCGAAAGUGUGGGUAUCAAACAGGAUUAGAUACCCUGGUAGUCCACACAGUAAACGAUGAAUACUCGCUGUUUGCGAUAUACAGUAAGCGGCCAAGCGAAAGCAUUAAGUAUUCCACCUGGGGAGUACGCCGGCAACGGUGAAACUCAAAUGAAUUGACGGGG
rnacentral:rRNA from 1 species